CGCAGGGUGCGUCGCCUGCUGAGAUAAGACCCGCGAACCUGAUCCGGGUAAUGCCGGCGGAGGAAGGAACA
rnacentral:ncRNA from 1 species